rnacentral:rRNA from 1 species
UACGUAGGGGGGCUAGCGUUGUCCGGAUUUAUUGGGCGUAAAGAGCGUGUAGGCGGCCAUUUAGGUCCGGUGUGAAAACUCGAGGCUUAACCUCGAGAUGUCAUCGGAAACCAUUUGGCUAGAGUCCGGAAGAGGAGAGUGGAAUUCCUGGUGUAGCGGUGAAAUGCGCAGAUAUCAGGAAGAACACCAAUGGCGAAAGCAGCUCUCUGGGACGGUACUGACGCUGAGACGCGAAAGCGUGGGAGCGAACAGG